AGAAAAGUAGGUGCCGCCCCGCACAGGGGCGACGCAUGAAGCACGUAUACGAAAUCGCGGAUGCCAGCAAAGGCGAAAGCAAAAAGCAAAAAGCAAAAGCUAAUUCCCCACCCCUGGGGAAACAG
rnacentral:sRNA from 1 species